AUUGAACGCUGGCGGCAUGCUUUACACAUGCAAGUCGAACGAGUGGCGAACGGGUGAGUACUAUAUCGGAACGUACCGAGUAAUGGGGGAUAACCAAUCGAAAGAUUGGCUAACACCGCAUAUUAUUCGAUCGGCCGUUAACGGAUCAGCUAGUUGGUGGGGUAAAGGACAACCAAGGCGACGAUCAGUAGCGGGUCUGAGAGGACGAUCCGCCAAACUGGAACUGAGAAAGGGCCAAGACUCCAACGGGGGGCAGCAGGGGGGAAUUUUGGAAAAUGGGGGCAACCCUGAUCCAGCCAUGCCGCGUGUAUGAAGAAGGCCUUCGGGCGGUAAAGUACUUGGGUUGGGGAAGCGGUACCUAAAGAAGAAGCACCGGCUAACUCCGUGCCAGCCGCCGCGGUAAUAC
rnacentral:rRNA from 1 species